rnacentral:lncRNA from 1 species
UUGUUCCAAUUGAUUGGAAUCAAGUACUCAAGGAGAACAAUGAUUGAGCAUUUGGCGCCAUGUGCCUGGUUGAAAGGCUUUCGAGCCUUUCGUCUGACCCCAGACAGAAAGGCAUCAGAAGCACAAGCGCUUCAACGUGGCCUCAGCGGCAUGGUAUUUCACAGACGGAUCACAGAUGUUUCUUACUUGACUGGAAGACCACUUACAGCCCUCGAAACAUCGGAAAGGAGUGCAGGCUUCUCGGGCAGCUGGAGGUGAGACUAUAGUAUGAGAUGAGGAGGUUGGGGAGCCCACUGUCGUUUUCCGUGUACUUCUCUGCGAAAUAGAUACGUAAUUCUUUACUGUAUUUUUCCAGGAAAGACAAAGAACUGAGCGAUUCGAUGGACGCGCCCUGUGAGUUGAUAAAGCUUCCUUGGAUCUACAGAAAGGCCCUACUGGUGCUCAACAA